GGUGGCUUGCAGGUGAUGCACCCUGGAAUCGGGCUCCCUCCUCUUUGGUUCUGGGUGCAUCACCCAAGAACCACA
rfam:Myotis lucifugus cont2.15127, whole genome shotgun sequence.